rnacentral:rRNA from 1 species
CGGCGAGUGAAGCGGCAAAAGCUCAAAUUUGAAAUCUGGUACCUUCGGUGCCCGAGUUGUAAUUUGGAGAGGGCAACUUUGGGGCCGUUCCUUGUCUAUGUUCCUUGGAACAGGACGUCAUAGAGGGUGAGAAUCCCGUGUGGCGAGGAGUGCGGUUCUUUGUAAAGUGCCUUCGAAGAGUCGAGUUGUUUGGGAAUGCAGCUCUAAGUGGGUGGUAAAUUCCAUCUAAAGCUAAAUAUUGGCGAGAGACCGAUAGCGAACAAGUACAGUGAUGGAAAGAUGAAAAGAACUUUGAAAAGAGAGUGAAAAAGUACGUGAAAUUGUUGAAAGGGAAGGGCAUUUGAUCAGACAUGGUGUUUUGUGCCCUCUGCUCCUUGUGGGUAGGGGAAUCUCGCAUUUCACUGGGCCAGCAUCAGUUUUGGUGGCAGGAUAAAUCCAUAGGAAUGUAGCUUGCCUCGGUAAGUAUUAUAGCCUGUGGGAAUACUGCCAGCUGGGACUGAGGACUGCGACGUAAGUCAAGGAUGCUGGCAUAAUGGUUAUAUGCCGCCCGUCUUGAACCACGGAC